GAGUAGGGCGGGACACGUGGUAUCCUGUCUGAAUAUGGGGGGACCAUCCUCCAAGGCUAAAUACUCCUGACUGACCGAUAGUGAACCAGUACCGUGAGGGAAAGGCGAAAAGAACCCCGGCGAGGGGAGUGAAAAAGAACCUGAAACCGUGUACGUACAAGCAGUGGGAGCACGCUUAGGCGUGUGACUGCGUACCUUUUGUAUAAUGGGUCAGCGACUUAUAUUCUGUAGCAAGGUUAACCGAAUAGGGGAGCCGAAGGGAAACCGAGUCUUAACUGGGCGUUAAGUUGCAGGGUAUAGACCCGAAACCCGGUGAUCUAGCCAUGGGCAGGUUGAAGGUUGGGUAACACUAACUGGAGGACCGAACCGACUAAUGUUGAAAAAUUAGCGGAUGACUUGUGGCUGGGGGUGAAAGGCCAAUCAAACCGGGAGAUAGCUGGUUCUCCCCGAAAGCUAUUUAGGUAGCGCCUCGUGAACUCAUCUCCGGGGGUAGAGCACUGUUUCGGCAAGGGGGUCAUCCCGACUUACCAACCCGAUGCAAACUGCGAAUACCGGAGAAUGUUAUCACGGGAGACACACGGCGGGUGCUAACGUCCGUCGUGAAGAGGGAAACAACCCAGACCGCCAGCUAAGGUCCCAAAGUCAUGGUUAAGUGGGAAACGAUGUGGGAAGGCCCAGACAGCCAGGAUGUUGGCUUAGAAGCAGCCAUCAUUUAAAGAAAGCGUAAUAGCUCACUGGUCGAGUCGGCCUGCGCGGAAGAUGUAACGGGGCUAAACCAUGCACCGAAGCUGCGGCAGCGACGCUUAUGCGUUGUUGGGUAGGGGAGCGUUCUGUAAGCCUGUGAAGGUGUGCUGUGAGGCAUGCUGGAGGUAUCAGAAGUGCGAAUGCUGACAUAAGUAACGAUAAAGCGGGUGAAAAGCCCGCUCGCCGGAAGACCAAGGGUUCCUGUCCAACGUUAAUCGGGGCAGGGUGAGUCGACCCCUAAGGCGAGGCCGAAAGGCGUAGUCGAUGGGAAACAGGUUAAUAUUCCUGUACUUGGUGUUACUGCGAAGGGGGGACGGAGAAGGCUAUGUUGGCCGGGCGACGGUUGUCCCGGUUUAAGCGUGUAGGCUGGUUUUCCAGGCAAAUCCGGAAAAUCAAGGCUGAGGCGUGAUGACGAGGCACUACGGUGCUGAAGCAACAAAUGCCCUGCUUCCAGGAAAAGCCUCUAAGCAUCAGGUAACAUCAAAUCGUACCCCAAACCGACACAGGUGGUCAGGUAGAGAAUACCAAGGCGCUUGAGAGAACUCGGGUGAAGGAACUAGGCAAAAUGGUGCCGUAACUUCGGGAGAAGGCACGCUGAUAUGUAGGUGAAGCGACUUGCUCGUGGAGCUGAAAUCAGUCGAAGAUACCAGCUGGCUGCAACUGUUUAUUAAAAACACAGCACUGUGCAAACACGAAAGUGGACGUAUACGGUGUGACGCCUGCCCGGUGCCGGAAGGUUAAUUGAUGGGGUCAGCGCAAGCGAAGCUCUUGAUCGAAGCCCCGGUAAACGGCGGCCGUAACUAUAACGGUCCUAAGGUAGCGAAAUUCCUUGUCGGGUAAGUUCCGACCUGCACGAAUGGCGUAAUGAUGGCCAGGCUGUCUCCACCCGAGACUCAGUGAAAUUGAACUCGCUGUGAAGAUGCAGUGUACCCGCGGCAAGACGGAAAGACCCCGUGAACCUUUACUAUAGCUUGACACUGAACAUUGAGCCUUGAUGUGUAGGAUAGGUGGGAGGCUUUGAAGUGUGGACGCCAGUCUGCAUGGAGCCGACCUUGAAAUACCACCCUUUAAUGUUUGAUGUUCUAACGUUGACCCGUAAUCCGGGUUGCGGACAGUGUCUGGUGGGUAGUUUGACUGGGGCGGUCUCCUCCUAAAGAGUAACGGAGGAGCACGAAGGUUGGCUAAUCCUGGUCGGACAUCAGGAGGUUAGUGCAAUGGCAUAAGCCAGCUUGACUGCGAGCGUGACGGCGCGAGCAGGUGCGAAAGCAGGUCAUAGUGAUCCGGUGGUUCUGAAUGGAAGGGCCAUCGCUCAACGGAUAAAAGGUACUCCGGGGAUAACAGGCUGAUACCGCCCAAGAGUUCAUAUCGACGGCGGUGUUUGGCACCUCGAUGUCGGCUCAUCACAUCCUGGGGCUGAAGUAGGUCCCAAGGGUAUGGCUGUUCGCCAUUUAAAGUGGUACGCGAGCUGGGUUUAGAACGUCGUGAGACAGUUCGGUCCCUAUCUGCCGUGGGCGCUGGAGAACUGAGGGGGGCUGCUCCUAGUACGAGAGGACCGGAGUGGACGCAUCACUGGUGUUCGGGUUGUCAUGCCAAUGGCACUGCCCGGUAGCUAAAUGCGGAAGAGAUAAGUGCUGAAAGCAUCUAAGCACGAAACUUGCCCCGAGAUGAGUUCUCCCUGAC
rnacentral:rRNA from 1 species